ensembl:lncRNA
AGAUACCCCAGUUCUCUGACAGCCUGGACCGUAAGUCUGCGUCUCUCAGAGGGUCCACGGCUCUUCUGUUCGAGCUCGAAGAUAAAGUGGCUCAGGCAGCGGCCGAUGUCCAGAACACACAGAGUCAGGUCUCCUACAUAGAAAACAAGAUAGCUGCGCUGAACGCUGCUGGAAUGCCCAUCGACAAAAGGAGGAAGUCCGCGAUCCCAGUCCAGACUCGGAGACUGUCCCAGAACUAUCCCACAAAAGCCGGUCAUGACUCAGGCCUCAUAAGACGUCGUCUCAGUGUGAUCUGAUGGGGCUCAUUUUCAGAGGGACUUCAGAGAAAUGUGGAACAAGACAUUUUAAAAGUAUUUUCCUUCGUUAAAACUGGACCUGAUUUCUCUGUCUUUUUAUUCGCACAUU